rnacentral:pre_miRNA from 1 species
ACCCUGUAGCUGCUAAGGGGCGUAGUGAUGUUUCCACCCCUAAGCUGUUACAUCGUCU